rnacentral:tRNA from 1 species
UGCGGGGUCGGCUAACGGGAAAGCCACCAGCCUUUGGAGCUGGGAAUCCAGGUUCGAGUCCUGGCCCCGCAGCCA